GGAGGUAUAGCUCAAUUGGUAGAGUGCUUGCUUAGCAUGCAGAAGGUCCUGGGUUCAACCCCCAGGACCUCCA
rnacentral:tRNA from 1 species